rnacentral:rRNA from 1 species
UACGUAGGGGGCAAGCGUUGUCCGGAUUUAUUGGGCGUAAAGAGCGUGUAGGCGGUUUGGUAGGUCCGUUGUGAAAACUCGAGGCUCAACCUCGAGACGUCGGCGGAAACCAUCUGGCUAGAGUCCGGAAGAGGAGAGUGGAAUUCCUGGUGUAGCGGUGAAAUGCGCAGAUAUCAGGAAGAACACCCGUGGCGAAGGCGGCUCUCUGGGACGGUACUGACGCUGAGACGCGAAAGCGUGGGAGCGAACAGG